AGCAUAGGCAAUUCCAGUGCUUAUGCUCAGGCAAAGUGUGAACAAUCCAAGGAAUAUAAAAUUCAAUGGAUGACUCUGCCGAUAUGAAUACAAGGGGCACAACACUACACAUUGGAGAGUAUGAGGUAUGUUAACUACUUGCUGAUUGGAUGUUAGAAGACAUUCCAUGAAGAUGAAAUUAAUUUAGCAUGCAAAGUAUUAGACAAAAUAUUUGGACUUUUCUUAAAAUGUGUAAAUUAUUUGGGAAGCCUGGCCUGCAUCCAUAUGGAUGGGACAGGAGGUUGGAUGAAACAAAUGUUUAUCUAAGCAGCUCAAUUGGUUUUCUUCAAAAAUGGUGAAGGGAAAGUGAUAUGUAUCCUUGUCAUGGUGGCGAGUCCUCUAGUGGUGGUUCAUCCUCGAAUGUAAUUAUAGAAGACGCACAUGAGAAGUUAUCAGUAUAGUCGUCGGAUGUGCAAGUGGAC